UACGGAGGGUGCAAGCGUUAUCCGGAUUCACUGGGUUUAAAGGGUGCGUAGGCGGGUAAGUAAGUCCGUGGUGAAAUCUCUGGGCUUAACUCAGAAACUGCCGUGGAUACUAUUUGCCUUGAAUAUUGUGGAGGUGAGCGGAAUAUGUCAUGUAGCGGUGAAAUGCUUAGAUAUGACAUAGAACACCAAUUGCGAAGGCAGCUCACUACACAAUCAUUGACGCUGAGGCACGAAAGCGUGGGGAUCAAACAGG
rnacentral:rRNA from 1 species